rnacentral:lncRNA from 1 species
GACAACCGGUGCAUGAAACCCCUGUCACAUACUCCCUAGAUGGCUCAAUCAAUCAUGACACUUUCAUGUAAAAUCUUUAGUAUUGUGAGCCCUUAAAAGGGACAGAAUUUGUGCACUCAAGAAGCUCGGAUUUUGAGAUGUUAGUCUGCUGAUGCUUCCAGCUGACUAAAGCCACUUCCUCCACUCCCUCAGUGUCUGUGAGGUUUUGUCUGCAGCUCAUCCUGCUACAUUUCUUGUUUCCCUGAUCAGGAAGCGAGGUAACUGACGGACGGCUGAGGCAUCCCCUUAGGCAGCUUAGGCCUGCUCUAUGGAGCAUCCCUGUGGGAGACUCUGGCCUGCCUUAGUGACGUGAUCCAAAGAGUGAUCCCAGGUAGGCAAUUGCCCUGGUGGAAUGCCUUGCCAGAGCAGCAUGUGCCAGGCCCACAUGGAGGAUCAACGCAGUGGCUGAACACAAGGGAGGAACUGGCACUUGGAGUGCAGACAUCUGAAACUUGGUUUUUGCAUGAAGAGGAGCAGGAGUCUCGAAGGCACAGCCAGAUGGGACUGCCUAGUUGCCGAAAACAAGCUCAGGUUUCCCAUGGAUGCUACAUUAUGGAGAGCUGAAUAAUUAUUUCAUUGUAUUACAAUGGAAUAAUAAUAAAAAUAAAGUGCAGAAUAAAGAGUCUUACUCUCUCACCAGGCUGGAGUGCAGUGGUACAAUCUUGGCUCACUGCAACCUCUACCUCCCGGGUUCAAGCGAUUAUCCUGCCUCAGCCUCCCAAGUAGUUGGGACCACAGGUGCGUGCUACCACACCCAGCUAAUUUUUGUAUUUUUAGUAGAGACAGGGUUUCACCAUGUUGGCCAGAAUGGUCUCGAUCUCUUGACUUUGUGAUCCACCUGCUACAAGGUGGCACCCUCCCAAAGUGCAGAGAUUACAAACAUGAGCCAAUGCUCCCAGCCACAAUUUCUAUCAUAUCUUCAUAUUCACUUAUCUUUCCUCUGUUCUAUCCAUUCUGCUCUUAAGCCUAUCUGGUAAUCUUUUAUUCAGUUACAAUAUUUGUUAGUGCUAACAAAUUUUUGUUCUUCUCUAUGUCUUCUAUUAAUUAUCUGAAACUUUCUAUCUGUUCAUCUGCCUCAAUAGUUUUUAAUUACUCAUUGAAGGAAUGUUAUGUUUCAGCAUGGACAGUGAUUGGACAGUGAUUCUCAGUUGUAUCCUGGCCAUUUAGGAUUAUGUUUGAGAUUUGGCACAUUGUGUAAUUAUUAUUUUUUUUUGUGGAGACCUCUUCUAAGAUUAUGCCCACAGGAUAAGUGGAGUGCCACCUCACUACAGGGAAGAGGGGGUGGAAGUCCACAUUUUCCCUAUAAUCUCUGUGAUCCAUGUUGGUAAGUCCAGUGUGGGAUUGCAAGGAGGGUAAACAGAUGCCUCAUAAUGACUGCAAUGACACCACAAUGGGAAACAGGUAAACUUCUCACCCUAAAACUCCACUGGGUGUCUUUUGACACCACUCUAGUGGGGUUGGAGAGACAGUUUGUAUUAGCCAGUGUUCUCUGAGAAAGCAUCCAUAGAAGAUAGAUAGACACAUAGAUAGAUUCAAAUAGAUUUAUUUAUGUAUUUACUUAUUUAUUUUUAGACAGAGUCUUGCUGUGUCACCCAGGCUUGAGUGCUGUGGCACGAUCUUGGUGCACUGCAACCUCUGCCUCCUGGAUUCAAGCAGUUAUUCUCCUCAGCCUCCAAAGAAGAUGGGAUUACAGGCUCGUGCCACAACACCUGGCUAAUUUUUUGUAUUUUUAGCAGAGAUGGGGUUUCACCAUGUUGGCCAGGCUGGUCUUGAACUGCUGACCUUGUGAUCCACACACUUGGACUCCCAAUGUGUUGGAAUUAGAGGCGUAAACCAUGGCACCCAGCUCAAAGAGAUUUAUAAAGAGAAACUGGCUCAGAAAUUGAAUAUGAGAGUUCCUAACAUAUGGAGGCAGCAAUGGGAGAUUCAGGAGAGCUGGUGGUCUAAGUUCUAGUCUGAGACUAAAGGCCAGAGACCCAGGACAGCUGAUGGUGUGAGCUCCUAUCUGAGUCUGAAGGCCCAAGACCCAGAAGAGCAAAUGGUGUGAGUUCAAGUCUGAGUCUGAAGGCCUGAGGCCAAUGAGAGCUGAUGGUGUAAGUUCUAAUCUGGGUCUGAAGGCCCAAGGCCCAGGAAAGCUGAUGAUGUGAAGUCCAGUCUGAGUGUGAAGGCCUGAGACUCAAGAGAGUUGAUGGCAUGAGUUCUAGUCUGAGUCUGAAGGCCCGAGAUGCAGGAUAACUGAGGGUAUGACUUCCAGUCUGAGUCUGAAGACCUGAGACCCAGGAGUCCUGAUCAUGUGAAGUCCGAUCUGAGUCUGAAGGCGUAAGGCCAGGAGAGCUAAUGGUGUGAAUUCCAGUCUGAGUCAGAAGACCUGAGACCCAGAAGAGCUUUGAGUGUGAAUUCCAAUCUGAGUCAGAAAAUCCAAGACCCAGGAGAGCUGACAGUGUGGGAUUCACACUGGAGACUCAAGACCCAGGAAAGCCCAUGAUGUAGGUGCCAGUUUAAAGACAGGAGAAUCCUGAUGUUUCAGCUCAAUCAGGCAGGAGAGGUUUCCUCUUACUCCAUCUUUGUUUCCUAUUCCAGGCUUUCAUAGAUUGUAGAGGACCCACCAACAGGAGGGGUCAAUCCACUUUUUGCAGUGUAUGAAUUCAAAUGGGAAGCCAGGUGCAGUGGCUCACACCUGUAAUCCCAGGACUUUGGGACAGGUUGGAUGAUCUCAGCUCAGGAGUUUGAGACUAGCCUGGGCAACAUGGUGAAACCCCAUCUCUACUAAAACUACAAAAAUUAGCUGGGCUUGGUGGCAGGCACCUGUGAUCCCACCUAUUCUGGAGGCUGAGGCAGGAGAAUCGCUUGAACCCACAAAAUGGAGGUUGCAAUGAGCCAAGAUCACCCCAUUGCACUCCAGCUUGGGAGACAAGAGUGAGACUCUGUCUCAAAUAAUAAAUAAAUAAAUACAUAAUUGAAAGAAUAAAAAAAGAAUUCAGAUGGGAAUCUCAUCCAAGUACCCAUCUUGCAGACAUAUUCAGAAUAAUGAUUUCCCAAAUAUCUCCAUGCCCUGUGACUCAGUCAAGUUGAUACAAAAAAAUCAGUCAUUAUUGUUGUCUUGGUUCUGCCUGGUAAAAUCAAAGUCCAGACCAGCUAGUCUGGCCUGGUAUCCACCUGGAUAUUACAGAUGGGCAAUGUUGGAAGUUUAUGCUUGAAGCUUGGUCUUUGCUAAUGGGGGUGGAGCGGAAGCCACAGUGCAUCUGUGGUAUAUGCUGGAUAACAGAAAACCCAGAGAACUCAUUCCCAUGAUUUUCCUCAGGUUCUCAGGUCUUUUUUCUUCUCUUCACCUGUCAGGGACCUCUUAUACUAGCUUUAUAUUAAUAUGCAGGUUUUAUGUCUGUACUUAAAAUGGAAACAGGCAGAAGUGCAUCUAUGUCAUCUUGUUCCAGAAUUACAAAUUUGAAGUAUUGCAGCUUUUUUAGUAUAACUGAAAAAAUAUCUACAAACUCAUCUGCAAAUCUGCAAGUGGUGCACAAAAUAAAUCCACUUAAAUAGUCCUCUUUGACCAUGUUAAGUGUUUGAAUCAAGUAAAAUUACACGAAUAAAGUCGAUGGUAGUUACAAACCAAAUGGACUCUCUAUCCACAGAAUAUAAUUUUUAACAGUCAUAUACACCUGUUUCCAAUCUAACAAAGGCUUAAAAGAGACUUUCUAAGAGAAGUUUAAGUUUUAUUACUCAGAAACUCUGGGGAUUUUCAGCAAUGUAAGUGAAUACUAGAGAGCAUUCAAGAAAUCUUAGAUCUUCAGAGUUGUUUUCCUUGAAGCUUUGAAUCUUUGUGCACUUUUAAAAUUGUUUUUCUCUGCAUUUAGCAAUGACAUAUAUUGUAAAAAAUGUGUCUUAUGUUUAUCUUCAGCCAAAUUUAUUUGCAUGUUCUACUUUGUGUGUUUUAGUAAAAGUUCAAUAUUUGAUAGCUUGAGUAAUUCUUUCAUCUUUGAUGCAAAGCUACAUUUUGAAAAUAUUGACUGAGAAUACAAUGAAGUAUAUAAUCAUUUUCCAGUAGCAAUGACUGGAAUGUGUGACACAUGUCUCAGUAGCAACAUUUCACUUUGUUCAAGAUCUGAUUUUCUAUAAAUAAUUCCUAAUGCAGUCAGCUACAAACCAAGACAAGAAUGUAAUUGAAAGCCUCUGAGUUAUUAAUAAUUUACUUUCUCUAUGUGGCCACACUUAGGACCUAAGCCAAAAAAAAAGUAUAGAAAAACUCCUUAAGAGUAAAAAAAAUUAAAUAAAAAAGCAUAUAAUGGAUAUGUGUCAACUGAGUUAUGUGGAAAGGCAGAAAAGGCAUUUUAGAAACAAUGAUCUGAGGUUAUUCAAUAUAAGGAUAUAGAACUCUAUACCCUUGAAUAUCCAUGAAGUUCUUUCUGUAUGGUCCAGCAGAAGAAGAAUGUUAAUUCCUUGCAGGUACUGCACUGCUUAGAUGUUAUUUUUGAAAACCUCUCCAGAUUUUUAAUACCUUCCUUCAUUGAAUUUUGAGUUAUAAAUGCAACCAUUUUACAGAUGCAGGGAGAUAUAACACAAGUUGUAAAGCCCUGUGUGAAGUCAUAUGGUUGACAGGAAUAAGAAUUCCUCAUUUGAAGGAAUUUUUAUACUCUACCCUGACUUACUGAUGACUCACAGUGUAUGUGACUCUAGAGUUUAAUGAUUAUGUUACUUUGGGAAUAUAGAGUUUUGUGAUCUGGGAAGACGUAUAAAUGUGCUUCCCUGAUCUACUCAAAUGCACGAGAGAGGUAUUUUUCAUGUAUAUUUUAGCCCAGAGAAAGGGCUUAAUCUCUUCAGCCAGUGGAUGUAUAUUACACUUUUAAAGAAUUCUUCUGAAAUCUUUUUCUGUGCCAUAUUUUCAGACAAUUUCAAGUUUAUUCUGCUUCAGCUGUCAUAGUGGCAACCCGCACUAAGAGUUUGUCACCAAACUCUCAUCGUUAAGCUUGGAAUGUCUUCAAGUACAAAUGGUUAUGCAAUUUGGGAAUUACCAGUUUAUUUUCCAAGAAGGUAAGAUGCAUCCUGUUGGUGAAUGCAGGACAACCUGGCGGGCCAGGUGCAUAAAUCUUUGACUUCCCCACCAUGACGAGGUUUGGAUAAGACUUCAACCCAGUGAUGGCCAAUGAGACUGGAUGGUGCAGUCUACAAAUAUUCCACUAGCUUGUGGUGGAAUAAAUCAGUGUUGUGUAUUUUCUUUGGUCUUUUCUUCUCGGUGCUCAUGUGAAUGUGCCUAUCUGUUCUAAAACCAGGUCAUUAAAAAUAUGUCAAUAUUUUAAACAUUAAAUAUUUAAAUCUGUUAUAAUUACACAAAUUUACAUGGUUUACAUAGGUUUAUUCUUUUUUUCUUGUUGUUUGUUUUUUUGAGACGGAGUCUCGCUCUGUCACCCAGGCUGGAGUGCAAUGGCGCGAUCUCGGCUCACUGCAAGCUCCGCCUCCCGGGUCCACACCAUUCUCCUGCCUCAGCCUCUCCGAGUAGCUGGGACUAUAGGCACCCGCCACCACGCCCGGCUAAUUUUUUGUAUUUUUAGUAGAGACAGGGUUUCACCGUGGUCUCAAUCUCCUGACCUCGUGAUCUGCCCGCCUCGGCCUCCCAAAGUGCUGGGAUUACAGGCUUGAGCCACUGCGCCAGGCCCAUAUAGGUUUAUUUUUUAAUAUCUAUAAACUUUUUGCUUCUAGUUAGUUCACAGCAGAGGGCAGACUCAUUCUUUUUUGUAACUUAAAGAGUCAAAUUGUUGAUAAAUUACACUUACAGAUAAUGUGCUCUUGAGUUUAUCGCACCUGAAAUUCUCCCAUUGACCUGUAUAUUUUUGGACAUGUAUGUGUACUACUAUAUAUGAAAUAUGAAAUAUAUGUAUCUUUGAUUCAUAUAUGUAUGUAUUCAUAUAUGAUAUGAAUCAUAUCAUUGAUAUAUGUAUGUAUAUGUGUGUAUAUAUAUAAAUAUAUAUAUACUAUUUGUAAUUUCUAUUAUUUUUUCAAGUGACUGUGUGCAUUUUAAAAUUAUUGUCUACUUAGUAUUCUGGAAAAAAAUUUAGAAGACUAAUGCUGUUACAUGCUAUUUUAGAGUGGUUAUGAUCAAAGUCAUAAAAUGAGAAAGUGGUGAACCAGGAUGCAAAUGGAACAUUGACAUACUAAUACAAUUUCACCUAAUGUAUGUAGCCAGAAGUCAGACACAGUCAAGAAGUUGGGAUUUGAAGAUAGAAAUUUUUAAGAGCAAAAGAAGAGACACUAUUCCAUGGAGUUUGCAUUGUGAGUUUAUGAAUGAAUGUAGAAAAUGGUAAUUUGGUCUCCUUCAUUCCUAUGGUAAAUGUCUUCAUUGAUCAUAGAAAAGAGGAUGUUAUUGGAUAUGUGUGUCCAGAUAGUCAUUUAGCUGAUUCUCCAAUCACCAGGCUUGUCACUACCAAUGAAUGAUCCAAAAAAGUUCCACCAUGUGACUGACCAGGCACCUAACACACACUAUAACUUUUGCUAGGAUGUGCAAUUUUGACUUAAGAUGUAGGCUGGGCUUCUACUCUCAUAUUGGCUGAAUCUAAGUAGCACCUGAACAUUGAUCCCAAAGAGAUGAACCCUACUGAAUGUCUUUGUGAAAAAAUGGUAGGGUAAAAUACAUGCAGCAGUACAGAACCUCCAGGCUGGAUGCUGUGGCUCAGGCCUGUAAUCCUAGCAGUUUGGAAGGCUAAAGUGGGAGGUGAGCUUCACUUGAGCUCAGGUGUUUGACACCAG